UACGUAGGGUGCAAGCGUUAAUCGGAAUACUGGGCGUAAAGCGUGCGCAGGCGGUGAUGUAAGACAGGUGUGAAAUCCCCGGGCUUAACCUGGGAACUGCAUUUGUGACUGCAUCGCUGGAGUGCGGCAGAGGGGGAUGGAAUUCCGCGUGUAGCAGUGAAAUGCGUAGAUAUGCGGAGGAACACCGAUGGCGAAGGCAAUCCCCUGGGCCUGCACCGACGCUCAUGCACGAAAGCGUGGGGAGCAAACAGG
rnacentral:rRNA from 1 species